GACGAACGCUGGCGGCGUGCCUAACACAUGCAAGUCGAGCGAUGAAGUUUCCUUCGGGAGACGGAUUAGCGGCGGACGGGUGAGUAACACGUGGGUAACCUGCCUUAUAGUGGGGGAUAGCCUUUCGAAAGGAAGAUUAAUACCGCAUAAGAUUGUAGUAUCGCAUGAUAUAGCAAUAAAGGAGCAAUCCGCUAUAAGAUGGACCCGCGUCGCAUUAGCUAGUUGGUGAGGUAACUGCUCACCAAGGCGACGAUGCGUAGCCGACCUGAGAGGGUGAUCGGCCACAUUGGGACUGAGACACGGCCCAGACACCUACGGGAGGCAG
rnacentral:rRNA from 1 species